GACGAACGCUGGCGGCGUGCUUAACACAUGCAAGUCGAGCGAGGCCCCUCCUUCGGGAGGGUGUCCUAGCGGCGAACGGGUGAGUAACUCGUGGGCAACCUGCCCUCAGCUCUGGGAUAACUCCGGGAAACCGGGGCUAAUACCGGAUACGACCUCCACGGGCAUCUGCGGAGGUGGAAAGUUUUUCGGCUGAGGAUGGGCCCGCGGCCUAUCAGCUAGUUGGUGGGGUAGUGGCCCACCAAGGCGACGACGGGUAGCCGGCCUGAGAGGGCGACCGGCCACACUGGGACUGAGACACGGCCCAGACUCCUACGGGAGGCAGCAGUGGGGAAUAUUGCGCAAUGGGCGAAAGCCUGACGCAGCGACGCCGCGUGAGGGACGAAGGCCUUCGGGUUGUAAACCUCUUUCAGCAGGGACGAAGCGAAAGUGACGGUACCUGCAGAAGAAGCACCGGCCAACUACGUG
rnacentral:rRNA from 1 species